GAUGAACGCUAGCGACAGGCUUAACACAUGCAAGUCGAGGGGCAGCAUAAAAGUAGCAAUACUUUGGUGGCGACCGGCGCACGGGUGAGUAACGCGUAUGCAACCUACCUAUCAGAGGGGAAUAACCCGGCGAAAGUCGGACUAAUACCGCAUAAAACAGGGGCACCGCAUGGUGAUAUUUGUUAAAGAAAUUCGCUGAUAGAUGGGCAUGCGUUCCAUUAGGUAGUUGGUGAGGUAACGGCUCACCAAGCCGACGAUGGAUAGGGGAACUGAGAUGUUGGGCCCCCGCACUCGUACGGAGACACGGACCAGACUCCUACGGGAGGCAGCAGUGAGGAAGAUUGGGCGAUGGGCGGGAGCCUGAACCAGCCAAGUCGCGUGAAGGAAGAAGGAUCUAUGGUUCGUAAACUUCUUUUGCAGGGGAAUAAAGUGCAGGACGUGUCCUGUUUUGUAUGUACCCUGAGAAUAAGGAUCGGCUAACUCCGUGCCAGCCGCCGCCGUAACAC
rnacentral:rRNA from 1 species